UGGCCUCAAAUCAGGUAGGACUACCCGCUGAACUUAAGCAUAUCAAUAAGCGGAGGAAAAGAAACUAACAAGGAUUCCCNUAGUAACGGCGAGUGAACCGGGAAGAGCUCAAAUUUGAAAUCUGGCUGUCUUCGAUAGUCCGAGUUGUAAUCUAUAGAAGCGUUUUCCGUGCUGAACUGUGUCUAAGUCCCUUGGAACAGGGUAUCAAAGAGGGUGAUAAUCCCGUACUUGACACAAUCAUCAGUGCUCUGUGAUACGUUCUCUACGAGUCGAGUUGUUUGGGAAUGCAGCUCAAAAUGGGUGGUAAAUUCCAUCUAAAGCUAAAUAUUGGCGAGAGACCGAUAGCGAACAAGUACCGUGAGGGAAAGAUGAAAAGCACUUUGGAAAGAGAGUUAAACAGUACGUGAAAUUGUUAAAAGGGAAACGAUUGAAGUCAGUCGUGUUUAUUGGACUCAGCUAGUUCUUCUAGUCUACUUCCUUUAAACGGGUCAACAUCAGUUUUGUCCGGUGGAUAAAGGUGUUAGGAAAGUAGCUUCUCUCGGGAAGUGUUAUAGCCUAGUAUCACAUACACUGGGGGAGACUGAGGACUGCAGCUCGCCUUUUGGCCGGGGUUCGCCCACGUUCGAGCUUAGGAUGUUGACAUAAUGGCUUUAAACGACCCGUCUUGAAACACG
rnacentral:rRNA from 1 species